GACGAACGCUGGCGGCGUGCCUAAUACAUGCAAGUAGAACGCUGAAGAGAGGAGCUUCCUCUUCUUGGAUGAGUUGCGAACGGGUGAGUAACGCGUAGGUAACCUGCCUUGUAGCGGGGGAUAACUAUUGGAAACGAUAGUUAAUACCGCAUAACAAUGGAUGACACAUGUCAUUUAUUUGAAAGGGGCAAUUGCUCCACUACAAGAUGGACCUGCGUUGUAUUAGCUAGUAGGUGAGGUAAUGGCUCACCUAGGCGACGAUACAUAGCCGACCUGAGAGGGUGAUCGGCCACACUGGGACUGGGACACGGCCCAGACUCCUACGGGAGGCAGCAGUAGGGAAUCUUCGGCAAUGGGGGCAACCCUGACCGAGCAACGCCGCGUGAGUGAAGAAGGUUUUCGGAUCGUAAAGCUCUGUUGUAAGUCAAGAACGGGUGUGAGAGUGGAAAGUUCACACUGUGACGGUAGCUUACCAGAAAGGGACGGCUAACUACGUG
rnacentral:rRNA from 1 species